AGAAUUUUAGUUUAAUUUUAAAAAACAUUUAAAUUGCAUUUAAAAAUUAUAUUAAUUUAAAUAUAAAUUUUA
rnacentral:tRNA from 1 species